ACGGGUGAGUAAUAUGUAGGAAAUCUGCCUUCUAGAGGGGGACAACAGAGGGAAACUUCUGCUAAUACCCCAUACGAGCUACCUUGAAAUAGGUAUCUUAAAACGCUCCGGCGCUAGAAGAUGAGCCUGCAUCUGAUUAGCUAGUUGGUGGUGUAAUGGACUACCAAGGCGACGAUCAGUAGCUGGUUUGAGAGGAUGAUCAGCCACAAUGGGACUGAGACACGGCCCAUACUCCUACGGGAGGCAGCAGUAGGGAAUUUUGCGCAAUGGGGGAAACCCUGACGCAGCAACGCCGCGUGAACGAUUAAGCCCUUCGGGGUGUAAAGUUCUGUCAGUGGGGACGAAACUUGACGGUACCCACAGAGGAAGCACCGGCUAACUCCGUGCCAGCAGCCGCGGUAAUACGGAGGGUGCAAGCGUUGUCCGGAAUCAUUGGGCGUAAAGAGUUCGUAGGUGGCAUGUUAAGUCUGGUGUUAAAGGCAGAAGCUCAACUUCUGUAAGGCACUGGAUACUGGCAAGCUUGAAUGCGGUAGAGGUAAAGGGAAUUCCUGGU
rnacentral:rRNA from 1 species